rnacentral:rRNA from 1 species
AUUGAACGCUGGCGGCAUGCCUUACACAUGCAAGUCGAACGGCAGCACGGGAGCAAUCCUGGUGGCGAGUGGCGAACGGGUGAGUAAUAUAUCGGAACGUGCCCAGUCGUGGGGGAUAACGUAGCGAAAGCUACGCUAAUACCGCAUACGAUCUAUGGAUGAAAGCGGGGGAUCGCAAGACCUCGCGCGAUUGGAGCGGCCGAUAUCAGAUUAGGUAGUUGGUGAGGUAAAGGCUCGCCAAGCCGACGAUCUGUAGCUGGUCUGAGAGGACGACCAGCCACACUGGGACUGAGACACGGCCCAGACUCCUACGGAGGCAGCAGUGGGGAAUUUUUGGGACAAUGGGCGCAAGCCUGAUCCAGCAAUGCCGCGUGCAGGAUGAA